rnacentral:rRNA from 1 species
CCUACGGGCGGCAGCAGUGAGGAAUAUUGGUCAAUGGACGAGAGUCUGAACCAGCCAAGUAGCGUGAAGGAUGACUGCCCUAUGGGUUGUAAACUUCUUUUAUAUGGGAAUAAAAUGUUCCACGUGUGGGAUUUUGUAUGUACCAUAUGAAUAAGGAUCGGCUAACUCCGUGCCAGCAGCCGCGGUAAUACGGAGGAUCCGAGCGUUAUCCGGAUUUUUUGGGUUUAAAGGGAGCGUAGGUGGAUUGUUAAGUCAGUUGUGAAAGUUUGCGGGCCAACCGUAAAAUUGCAGUUGAAACUGGCAGUCUUGAGUACAGUAGAGGUGGGCGGAAUGCGUGGUGUAGCGGUGAAAUGCUUAGAUAUCACGAAGAAUUCCGAUUGCGAAGGCAGCUCACUGGACUGCAACUGACACUGAGGCUCGAAAGUGUGGGUAUCAAACAGGAUUAGAUACCCCAGUAGUC